GGCCUCGUAGUUCAACUGUUAGAGUGUGCGCUGUACAAAGCGUAGGCGGUGUCCAUGCCUGGGUUCGAAUCCCACCGAGGUUA
rnacentral:tRNA from 1 species